CCUCCUUCCUUCCCGACCCCUCGGGAUCAUCCCGGCGCAUUCCCGGCUCUCUCCGCCCUGGGAUCGCUGCUCCGUAGCCGCAGCAAGGCCCGGACACGCCGAGGAUGCAGCGGGAGGUCAUCAGCUCCAGGUUUGGGAAUGGAGGGAGAAAGAAAAAAAGCUCCAAGGUCACAAACACGCAGCAGAGAAUGCAGAAAUUGCAGAAAUUCCCAUUCAGAGCUGGAAUUUGGAAAAUCCAACAGGAAAAACCCAAAAAUGCUGUGGGAAAUCGGGGCCUGCCUGCAGUGGAAGAGCCCUGGAAGGUCCCUCCUGAUGGGAAUUUGGGAAUUUGGGAAUUCUGGAAUUCCCUGACCAGUGUGGAGUGAGGGAUGGCACCACCACACCUCACACAGCUCCCUCCGGGAACCCCCGGCCCCCUCAGGCCUCUCCCGGUACCUCCGGCCCGGCCGCUCCCGGUACCGUCGACCCCGCCCGGC